AACGAACGCUGGCGGCAGGCCUAACACAUGCAAGUCGAACGCUGUAGCAAAUCAGUGUGGCAGACGGGUGAGUAACGCGUGGGAACAUGCCCUUCGGUUCGGAAUAACUCAGGGAAACUUGAGCUAAUACCGGAUACGCCCUUAGGGGGAAAGAUUUAUUGCCGAAGGAUUGGCCCGCGUCCGAUUAGCUAGUUGGUGAGGUAAUGGCUCACCAAGGCGACGAUCGGUAGCUGGUCUGAGAGGAUGAUCAGCCACACUGGGACUGAGACACGGCCCAGACUCCUACGGGAGGCAGCAGUGGGGAAUAUUGGACAAUGGGCGCAAGCCUGAUCCAGCCAUGCCGCGUGAGUGAUGAAGGCCCUAGGGUUGUAAAGCUCUUUCGCCAGGGACGAUAAUGACGGUACCCGGAUAAGAAGCCCCGGCUAACUUCGUGCCAGCCGCCGCGGUAAGAC
rnacentral:rRNA from 1 species